rnacentral:rRNA from 1 species
UACGUAGGUGGCAAGCGUUGUCCGGAAUUACUGGGUGUAAAGGGAGCGUAGGCGGGAAAGCAAGUUGAAUGUUUAAGGUACGGGCUCAACCUGUACAAGCGUUCAAAACUGUUUUUCUUGAGUGGAGUAGAGGUAAGCGGAAUUCCUAGUGUAGCGGUGAAAUGCGUAAAUAUUAGGAGGAACACCAGUGGCGAAGGCGGGUUCCUGGACAUUAACUGACGCUGAGGCACGAAGGCCAGGGGAGCGAAAGGG